CCUACGGGGGGCUGCAGUGGGGAAUAUUGGACAAUGGGGGAAACCCUGAUCCAGCAAUGCCGUGUGGGUGAAGACGGUCUGCGGAUUGUAAAGCCCUUUAGGCGGGGAGGAACGGCGUUAGGUAAAUAAUCUAGCGUUCUGACGUUACCUGCAGAAUAAGCACCGGCUAACUCCGUGCCAGCAGCCGCGGUAAUACGGAGGGUGCGAGCGUUAAUCGGAAUUACUGGGCGUAAAGCGUGCGUAGGCGGAUAGAUCAGUCAGCCGUGAAAGCCCUG
rnacentral:rRNA from 1 species